rnacentral:rRNA from 1 species
UAAUAGCGUAUAUUAAAGUUGUUGCAGUUAAAAAGCUCGUAGUCGGAUGUCGGGCUCGGGCAGGCUGUCGGCUUCGGUCGGACGGCAGGCUCGGGUCUUUCUGCCUGAGGAACCCGUUGCGCUUAAUUGGGCGGCGUGGGGACGCAGGCCGUUUACUUUGAAAAAAUUAGAGUGUUCAAAGCAGGCCUACGCUUGAAUACAUUAGCAUGGAAUAAUGGAAUAGGACUUUGGUGCUAUUUUGUUGGUUUAUGGGACCGAAGUAAUGAUUAACAGGGACAGUUGGGGCCGUUUAUAUUUCGUUGUCAGAGGUGAAAUUCUUGGAUUUACGAAAGAUAAACUUCUGCGAAAGCAUUCGGCAAGGAUGUUUUCAUUG